GAGAGGGAGAGGAAGGAAGAGGAUGACUGGAAAGAACAGUGGAGUCACUGCCUGGCUACAGCUGCGUCAUUGUGGACAGAAGUUCAAAUCCCGGCGCUGUAUAAUGCCAAUGCCUGUGGAUCCCGCAGAAGGUGGACCAGUUUGGCACAGUGCCAGCCAAUUUGGAUAAGUGGAUGUUGGACUGGUUGCUUCAUUUCUAGAGCCUCCUUCUGGGGAUUAGACAGAUGAACUAUGGACACCAGAUCCCCAACCCCCAAAAAACUGAAAUGUGGAAACAUCAACACUUGCCAUUUUGAAUGAAUGUCACUUUUUAUGGUUUUGCCUUGUCUGAUUCUCCUCAGGACACACCACCCUGUAUAAAAUACUAUUUGUCAUUCCUGACCUACUGGAUACCUUGAGGAGAUUGACCUCCGGUGUUCAAAAGCUUGUGGACAAGACAACACUUAUUAUUAGAGUUCUACAACGUUUGCAGGUUUUUGUUUCAGCCCUUCACUAACAUCUCAUCCUGUCAAAAACCAUCUGGACCAAAAACCUGUCUGAGUUGUCAUUGACCUCUGGGAGGUCAAAAGGGGCGGUUUCACCUCAGCCAAUGAAGGACAGCUAUUGCAACGCGAGGAGACACGACAUUACACUGUUUUGUUAAAAAUCUAAUUUAAUUGCACAAUAAUAAUAAAAAUGUCCCUUAAAACAG